rnacentral:tRNA from 1 species
UGGGGCGUGGUGCAGCUGGUAGCACGCGGGACUCUGGAUCCCGAGGUCCCUGGUUCGAAGCCAGGCGCCCCAGCCA